UGGGGUAUAACGUAAUUGGCAGCGUCGCCGGCUCUAACCCGGUAUGAUUUGUGUGGGUUCGAAUCCUACUGCCCCAA
rnacentral:tRNA from 1 species